AUAAAGAAGAGAAAAC
rnacentral:sRNA from 1 species